rnacentral:lncRNA from 10 species
ACACAUAAGGAAGCACUAGGGUUGGUCAAGAGGCAGAGGGAGCAAGGGGAAAACAUGGGCAAGGGCAUUUAUGGUGGUUUCUGCAGGAAGAAAUGGGCAAGGCAGGAUAAGCAAGUUUAGGCUUGGUUAGUUUGAAUAAUUUCAGUGUGCUCUGAGGAAUAGGGGCUGUCUCUAGAUACCUGGUACCUAGCCCUGGAGUGAUUAGGGCAGGUAGGUAUUAGCCCUGAGUGUGAGAACUCAACAAAGGAGGUGGUUGGGCUAUGGGCUCUUAAUGGAUGUGUUUGCAUACAAAAAGUGCACUUGUAGAUGAGUUUAGUUUAGUUUUGUUUUUUUUUUGAGAUGGAGUCUCGCUCUGUCACCCAGACUGGAGUGCAGUGGUACGAUCUUGGCUUACUGCAACCUCCGCCUCCCGGGUUCAAGCAAUUCUCCUGCCUCAGCCUCCUGAGUAGCUGGGAUUACAGGCACCCGCCACCACACCUGGCUAAUUUUUAUAUUUUUAGUAGAGACGGGGUUUCACCAUGUUGGUCAGGCUGGUCUCGAACUCCUGACCUCGUGAUCUCCCCAACUAGGCAUCCCAAAGUGCUGGGAUUACAGGCGUGAGCCACCGUGCCCAGCCUGAGUUUUUUUUACUAUCCCUAAGAAUUGUCUAACCCUGGGAAGGGCAGUUCCCCAAGAUUCAUCAAGGUCCCAAGAUGUCAAUGCAGCAAAUAUUGAAACUAGAAAACACAAUGAUUGAUUAUACUUUGACAAUUAGGGAAUUCUGUCUCUUAGAUCAUUUGGUGAUAGAGCUGUGAUCACUGGGAACUUUCAUGACCUGUUUUGUCUUGAUACCACCCAUUUUCAUGCCAAUUUUUGCCAUAUUUUAUUAUUUCAUUUAUUCAUUCAUUUAAUAAAUACUUACUGAGCAUCCACUGUAAACCAGGCCCUGUGUCAGACUCUGGCCCUCGCAACUUGGUCAAGAGAGACAGCCUAGGAAGCAAGUGGAAUUCCUGCCUGCAUGAUGAGGAAAUAGAGGCACUGAAGAAUAAGCUCUCCUGAACGAUUUUCACUGGAAAGAUUUUUCAACAUUCCAUCUGUCCACUCCACCAGCCUGAGACAACCAUCUUUACUGAGGUUUUGAAUAGUUAAGCAGGAGGUAAUGCACUCUUAACAGUGUUUAAAAGGAUUAAGCAAUUCAAAGCAUACCUCCAAGGAACCCCUGCCAGAGAUGCUGAAUCUUGAGUUUGCUUUCUUCCUCUGAAGGGCAUCUGAACUUUCACCUGACUCCUUAUGCUUAGCUCAAACGGGGGCAGGUUCAAGCAGGAAAUCGGAUGGCCUGAGAGGUGCUGCCACUGUAAUUAAGAACAGAGCAGACCAUUGCCAAGACUCAAGAAAGUUGUAUGCCUCUUAAUCUGGUUUGUUUCAUUAGGCCUUUUACUAAUGCCCAAGUUAUGGCCCUUCUGAAGGUGGCUAGAAGCAGGUGUUGGGGUGGAAGUGGGCCUAAAACCCAGAGCCCAGUGGCUGCUCCGCAAAAGAGAGAUGGGCAAUAACAUUAAAAUUAUAUUUAUACCUCAACUUAGUCCACAAAACUGAGGUUCAAGCACUGAACCACCUGCCUGAUCAUUGUCACCACAGGGCAUGAUCAUUUACAGUCUGGAUUUGACAAUACAUCAGAGAGCAUGGACUUAUGUUUGGACAUUUAAAAACCGCCUCCACGGGAGGCAGAGUUUGCAGUGAGCACGGGUGGCAGAGUUUGCAGUGAGCUGACAUCACACCACUGCACUCCAGCCUGGGUGACAGAGGGAGACUCUGUCUCAAAAAAACAAAACAAAACAAAACAAAACAAAACACCUUCUGAAUAUCGCAUUCAAAAUAAAUUUUUAAAAGUUAUCAAAAACUUCCUAAAUGAUGCAGAUUCUUAGGAUGAUACAGGUAUUUGACUUUGAAGAGGACAAAGGCUGAUUGCAAUUCUUCUUCUGACACGAGACUCUCCGACAGUGUGUGUGGCUCCCUUUACUUUCCACAUCUUCCUUCUUUCUUCUUUCCUAGCUUCAUUCCUUCUGUAUCUCCUGCAUCUCAGACAUCAUAGCAGAAACUGCUAAUCAUUUUUCAAUGUGCAUUCUCCUCUUCUUCCUUCAGGAGAACCCUCAAGUUUUUGCUGAGGAGAUAGCUGCUCAGUUAAAAACCAGAUUUCUCAGCCUCCCAUGCAACUAUGUGACAAUGUGACUCUUUUCUUGCCAGUGGUGUGUGAGCAAAAAUAAUACGUGCAACCUUUGAAAGUGCAAUUAAAAAAAAGAAGAAGCAUGCCCUGUUCUUCCUCCACUUUCUCCUUUCCUCUGCUUGGCACAUAGCUAUGAUGGCAGGAGUUGGAGCAGCCAUUUUGGGCCAUGAGAUGAAAGCCUUAUAUUGAGCCAUGUUUUGAGCAGAAGAACAGAAAAGAAAGAACCUGGGCCCCUGACAUUACUGAGCCACCAUAAAGACCUAGGCUCUCUACUUGAACUUCAGAAUAAGGAUAAUAAGAGUAUCAACCUCAGAGGAUCACUGCAAGAAUUGAGUGGGAUACAUAUGACGUGCUUAGCACAGUUUGUGGCCCAUGUUCCUGGGGGUCUGGUGAGAAGAAGACAGGCCUGGAGUUGAAGGAGAGAAAAAAGGCUGGGCUGGCCUGUUGGAAGGAGACUUCCACCUCUGCAAGCAUCCCCAUCUUGUUUGGAUUGCAAACUCAGUUGCCAGCCAAGCAAGAUGAGGGGAACGGCUUUGGACUCGGGCUGACUUGGACCACAUCCCAUCUCUGCCGCCAUCUGAGCUCUGUGACCGUGAAGUGCUCCUACCACCCUUCUGAGCUUUUGUUUUCUUCACCUGUAAAAGUGCAGGAAGAAUACUUACCUGUCACCAGAAUAUUCCAAGAAUUAGAAUUAAUGUUUGGAAAGUUGUUGACACCUAGCAGGUACUCAAAAAAUGGUGGCUAUUACUACUACAUUCUACAGUCUCUGCGCUACUUUGAAAGGACUUGCUUCUAGGGGAGCUUAUUUCUAAUGGGGAGAUAUUUUGGUUUUGAAGUAAAAUCUAUACCGUGUUAGAUGGGAGGUGUGCUUUAGAGAAAAAAUAAAGCAGGGAUGGGAGACUGAGAUGGCUGGGGAGCCUGAGGAAAGCCCCAUUUAUAGGUCUAAGAAUGAGAGAGAGUUUCUUUCUUAAAUUCCCUCUCCCUACUUUAUCAAAGAGAUUUUACUUCCAAAUAAGUGUAAACGGGAAAAGGGAACAGAGCCUGAAAGACACUCAAAACAGACACUCAAAAAUGCUGUCCUAGGGAGUCAGCUGGGGUGUCAUCACUGACGUGGGACUUAGGGUGUUGAGCUGGAGUCCUGGUUUGUCAUUUGAAAAGAGAAAUCCUGAUCAAGUUGUUGUACUGCUCUUUGACUCUAUUUCCUUAACUGUAAAUUAGAGGUAAGAAUCCCUGUCUCACGUGCACGAGCAGGAGAGGCUUUCUGGUCUGUUGGGAUUCUCAGAUUCACAAGGAUCAGGACGUGGCCAUUGAAAGCUGCCAUCCCAAGAGGCAAAACUAUGGAAGAUAGGAAGGAAAUCCGUACUUACCUCACUCUGCUCCCUCCUCCUUUCCGUGCCUGCGUGCACACACACACGCAUGCACACACCCUGAGGUUGUCAGGGGACUAGAGGUGUUGUCCUUGAAAGUGAAAGUCAUUCCAAGGCAAAGGAAAUGUACUGGUGUUGAGAAGGUUCGGUAGGGCCCCUUCCAACGGGAAUGGCUGACUCGCCAUGUCCUCUAAAGAUGCUGCCUUGAUUCGUGGAUUUCAGCAUUGUCCAAGCUCUGUGGCACCAUGGACUGGUUGUAUGUCACUGACAAGCAAAUGCUUAGUCCUGUGCUGUAUAUAUUUACUGUACCAUAUAAAUAAUAAACACUAAUAACUCACUUCAUCCUUUACGAGUUCCCCAUCCAUUUCCUGCCAUUUCUGGAACUUUCAUCACAUGCUAGAUGGUGUUGCUGACGUUUAUUACUGGUUGCUCAUAUAGGGUGAGAAAUCAUUGUUGCCUCAUGAAUAGCUAGCAUUUUUUUCCUCUUUCAUUGAAAAGUUAUUCUAACUCAAUCUAAAUUUCCAACAACCAGGAAGUAUUUAAAUAAGUCAUCUUCCAACCAUCUCAUGAAAUUACAUAACCACUAAGAAUCAUGAUUUUAAAAGCUAUUCAACAAUACAGGGAGAAAAAUGCUCACAUCACAAUAUUAGGUAAAAAAAGCAAUGCAGAAAAUCAUCUAUCCAGCGUGAUCCGAUUUUGCCCAUACAUUUAUAUGUAGAUUUAUGUGGGCACAUUAAAAGACGUGGCAAAAAAUGUUAUUUCUGCGUGAGAUGGUGGUGGGUGAUUUUUAUUUUCCACAUUUUACAAAUUUUCCACAGUGGACUUUUGGAAGCUGAAAAAAUAGAUUAUUCCUUUAUUUGAAAAUUUUACUUUUAAAGGACAUUUUCAUAAAUUUAUUUUUAAAUGUUAUUUCUUUAAAACAUUUCAAGACAAUCUAAUACAUAUAACAAUAAAAACGCCAGCACUAAUGUCUGCCUGACAGUGGCCAAAAUGGGUGAGUGUGAGAGAGAUGGGUUUGGCAGUCACUGUGAAACCAGCAAUGAGGUUAACUCUGGUUUGGGGACUAUGUCUUCGGGAUCUGUGCUUUGUUUUGUUUUUUCCCCUCUAAGUAUGGGUGUUCUAUCCACAACAUUCACAGUCCUACAUGUAGACAUAUGACAGGUGUAUUUUCUGUUUUCAGAUUUAUAUCCACCUACAAAAUUACCCUGUGAAAGCCCCAUCACUCACAGAAACUAUUGCUGAGGAGGAGAGGAUGAUUUUAUUUAGCUAAUUUUUAACAAAUCUCCAAUGUUGCCCACAUCUCCUGAAGCUGGGAGGAGGGAUAAUCAAGUCAAGCCCCAUUGACUAGGAGAAUAGUGAACUGUGGAAAAUGAGUUCUCAGCACGCCACAGGGCCACAACUCCAUUUAAAGAACACGUUCAUUAUUCAGACACUCGGCCUUCUUCCGGGGCUGUUGGCCUGUCCCCAGGGCUGCCUCCAUUCCCAGGGGCCCUGCAGCCUUCUGAGCCAGCCUCAUACGCAUGUUGGUGCUGGCAGCUGGUGUGGAGCAGCUCCAGGCACCACUGCAGUGGAUCCCUGUAGCAGCGCUGAGAAGGACACGAGCACUUAACUGAUGUUUUCGUUUUACAGAUGAGGAAACUGAGGCUCUGAUGGACGCUGUUGCAUGCCAGGGUCACACAGCCAAUCAAGGAUAGCUGUACCCACAUGUUUUCACUCCAAGACCAUUGCCAUUUCUAAUGUGUGAAGCAUCUUCCCUCCACUGGUCCAGCUUUAGAAGAUGUGAUUCUGACCAGCUAGCUUAUGUUAAGAUGGAUAUUUAAAAACCAGCUGUAAACAAAGAUAAAAACAGCAACAACAAAAAAAGACAGACUUCCAGAAUAAUUAUUAAAUAAAAUAUAUAAAAGAUUGCAGUUUUGAGCUAUCUAAAUGUGAGACAAGCAUAAAGGCAGACAGAGCUGAAUUCAAACCUUAGCUUAGCCACUGCCUAGCUGUGUGACCUUACACAAUAUACUUAACUUCUCUGAGCUUCAGAUCUCUCAUUAAUUGUACAGGGAUUGUAAAAUCCGGCUCAUGUGCUUGCUGUAAGGGCUUAGCAAGAUAAUAGAGGUGAAAACUCUCCUUUCACUCUGCCCAUAUAGUAGACCCUCAAUAACAUAUAGUUAAUUUCUGUCUCCUCUUCCUCUGCCUCUCCCUCCUCACUUCUCAUUUUUCUUCACUGAUUCUUCCAGCAGUUCUGAAAAGGGGGGCAGGAUGAUUCAUAUGUUCAAUAAACAUCUAAGUGCCAAGCAUUAUUCUAGAUGCUGGGGAGAGAGGGCACUUUGGAGACUCAUAACCCCACAUGGUAACCAUCAGCAGGAGUGCCAGAGGGGCUCACACUUUUGGAGGGGUGCAUCCACUUUGCUUUCUUACUUUAUCCAUCCAGCUCCUGCAGGCAUUUGAGUUUAUGGCCCUGAUCUAAGGUAACGUUAAUCAAGAAUUUUCUAAGACUCUGUGGAAGCUGUUAGGUUACUCCCAGCAGGACCUGGUUUCAGGAGGGGCUCUAGUUGCAAAGCUCAAACCUAUCAAAGCUGGCAUCCAUCCUUUGCUGGGAUGCCUGGGAAAGACUGCAGCCCAAAAGACUAAUAAAUGAAGUGGUUGUCAUUAACUAUGUAUUAAUUCAUUCAUAAGUCACCCACCUCACAGUAUUAGAUGUAAUAGAUUCUAGGUACAUAUAGGGUGCUAGAGAUGUAUAUCAGUGAAGAAAUCUUUGUCCCUGGUCUUAAGGAGUUGACAAGUUAAGCAGGCAUACAAGCUUAUAAAGAAAUCACUACAACAGAGCAUGAAAUUUGUGAGUCUGGGUAUAGGGUACAGAUGAGGAACCGCGGGAAAUGAGGCUGAAGAAACAGACGGUGUUCAGAUCACACAAGGUUUUGAUGACCCUUCUAAGGAGCAGAGAUUUCUUCUGAAGCAAAGAGAAACCAAUGAGGAGUUUCGAUAAAUGACUUCCCCUUCUCCAAAUCCAUUUUCUUUCCAUAGUUAAUAAUUUAUUUUUUGAAAGUACUAGAAGGGGACUUAGAAAUCAUCUAGUCCAGAGGUAACAAACGGGAUUCAUCUGAUGAGCCAACUCUGAUCAGAAGGUGGGAGCUGUCUGUGUUGAGAAGGAUUCUGCAGCCAAGUCUAGGCUCAUUAAAACCACAAUUGAUUCAUGAUGUCUGCCACAUACAAAGAAAGGAAAAGGUGGCAUCCACCCUAAGAGUUGAAUUAUCAUCUUUUUAAAGUAAGGACAUUUCUUUGCACAAGUCACACAACUAGUUGAUGCCAGAGCCAGGCCUAGAACCGAGGACUCCUGGGUUGCAGCAGAGAACCUAUUCUCUGCACCAUCUUCGCUCAGUCCUCCUUCGUGAGCAGGAGCAGAGCAGGAAACCUGGUUCCCAUGACAACCAGCCUCUAUGUCUCAUAGGGUAUCAAGACCAUCCAGCCAGAGAGUGCUAAAGUAAUAGGGGGAGCGCUUCUGUCAUGUAACACUGUGUAACAAACCACCCAAAGUCUAAAUGUCUUACAAUAGUUUAUUAUUGUCUCUCAUGAUUCUGUGAGUUGACUGGACUCAGUGGGACAGUCUGCUGGUCUGGCUUGGGAUGCUCAUGCAGUUGCAAUCAAACGGCAGCUGGUGUUGGAGCUAUCUGGAGGCUCCACGGGUGGGACUGUGAAAAUGGCUUCUUCCCUCACACCUGGCACCUCCAUGCCCCUCUACGUAGUUUCUGUCUUCAUCAGGAGCCUCACCCGCCACGGCCUCUGCAGGGGUCUCUCUCCAGUGGAGUAGCUGGACUUCUUACACAGUAGAUGGCUUGCGAGAGUGUACAAGUGGAAUCUGCUAUGCCUUCUUAAAGCCUGGAAGCAGUAGAGUGUGAUUUCUGCCACAUCCUGUUGGUUAUGGGUGAGUCACAGGUACAAUCCAGAUUGUUUGGAAGGGUGGGAGGGGACUGCACAGGGAUUUGAACACCAGGAGUGCUUCAUGGGGACUGGCCUGGGGGACAAACUACCACUGGAGUGAAAGCAACGGAAACCCAGCUGGAGUCUCAGUUGUUCCACCAGUAAGCAGGUGGCCUUGGCGAGGCCUGUCGGGAUGCCAGUUUCCAUCUCUGGACGGUGUCCCAGAGGGGACAAAGCUCCCGCCCUGGCAGUUAGUGCUUCUUCUCCUCCGCCUUUUCCCCUGCUCUCCCCCAAGACUUCUCAGGACAGUUUCUUCCUCAGCACUAUUUUCCUUGUGGUGGAGUUGGAAGGAUAGAAACUCUAACCAGCAGUCAGAGAGGGAUUGGCACUGGACCCGACGUCUCAUUAUGUUGAACAUCAUUGUGCCAACCUAAGGGAAACGGUGCGGGUUGUUUGUUAUCGAUGGCAAAUCUUCUUCCAAGAGUGGCGGGCCCUUCCGUCAACAACACAAAGUGUCCUCGCUCCCGGCCCCCUUUCCAGCCCUGUGACUCAUCAGGCCUCUAACCUCUUUUUCCCCCACAGUGAGAAAUAUCCAAGUUGAUAACAGCAAAAACUUGAUAAUGACUAGUGUUGGGAAGAGAUUAAACUACUUGUAAUUCCAAAUUGUUCAAAAUCAACUCUCCUGACCUGCCAGGAUAGUGAGACUUAGAAAAACAAAAACAAAAACAAAAGCAGAAAACCAAAGCGGCAAAAAGAAACAACUUCAGAACACAAAUUUAAGACACGAAUUUUGCUCAGUUCCUAGUUUUGACUCUGAGCAAUGGAGGUAUUUCUAACAAAAGAAAAUCUCCACGUCCGUCCUAUGUUUGGAAUAUUCACUGGUGUGUAAUUCCUAGAAGUGUGCUGAGAAUGAUUUCGAUAAAGAGAAAGGUGCUUGACUUCUGAGAUGCUGAGAAUGAUCUGUUUUUAAGGAACGUUUUUCAAACGUGAACAGGCCAAUGAGAGAAAUGGACUGCCCUCUGUUGGACAGAGAUAGCAAAAUCAGCCAGGGAUGGAGGAGGAAGCUCUGUGGCAGUGGCUUCAGCCUUCUUGAGAAGGUCCUCUUGGGAUCUUUUAAUUGUGAUGACACAGACCUCUCAUUUAAAUGUGGCCCAAGAAACACAGAAGUAAAAUUUUAGAGACAUCCACAUAGAUAAGAUUUGCAUUUCUACAAUGUAUCCAGCUAUGUGUUUUCAGUUUUAACAGAGAAAUGUCAAAAAAUAUACUAGUAAAGUGCAGGGUUUAGGGAGAUACAUAUGUUAAUAAGUAUUUGAAGUUGAAGAAUUGGGACUAGAGCUACUCUAUUCCUAAGUUUAUCAAACACAGAAAUGGCUCAUCUGACCUAAGAUGCUGUAUCCUGCAAUGAUAAUAUUACCUCAAAGGAGUUUUAGAGACUCAAACUGUCACUGUCUGUUUGAGGAACACAGUCACUAAUUAAGCUUAAAUGAUGCUUUCCCCCACAAACAUCCGUGAUUAUUAUUGUUUUCUGCUGGCCAGGUCACCUACGGAAUAUAAAGAAAAGCAAAUCCAGGCUUUGGCCCUCCCAGGGGAAUGAUCAUGUCAGCAAGAAUUCACAAGGACGUUGACUCCAGGGAAGGGAAGAGGCUAUUUUUGUUCAUUCACCUGCAGCUAGAGCUGCUCAGAGCAAGAAAGAUUCAGCUAUGUUCUACUUUUGCUUCCUUUCAAAACUAGAGAGCCAUUUUCCCAAACACCUGUUACCCUUGCUUUAAAAAUAUCUUGAGAAGAGUGGAACUAGAGAAAGGAAGGAGUGUGAGGGAAAGGAUUACAGAAGACAACAUGUCUUCUGUGUGAAUGGUCUUGACAUUUCAUACAACAAUUAAGAAAUUAGCAAAAAAAAAGGCACUCAUCACUUGGACUCAUUAACUCCACUUCUAGGAAUCUAUUCACAGAAAUACUGGUAGAAACACCCCAAUGUGGCUACAAGAAGGUCCACUGAAGCAUUGCUUGUAAUAAUAGCAAAUUAGAAACGACCAAAAUAUCCUGAAUAGAGAACUGCCAGAAUAAAGAUGUUACACAAUGGAACACCAUGCAGCCAUUUAAAACAAGGAGGUUCUCUGGGGGCUCACACGGACAGUGCACCACAAUAGGUUCAGUUAUUAAGUGACUAACACAUGUUGCAUAACAGAAGUGCUGUUUUCCAUUUCUGUAAAUAAAAUUGUAUUAUUAAUUGUAGUUUGUUGCUUAAAACGAAACCUGGAAGAAUAUACACCAGUCCAUUAACAGUGGAAAUCUCUAGGAGUUGGGAUUAUGAAAGGUGGCUACUUCUUAAAUGUAAUCGGUCCAUAUUGUUUCACAUCUUUACCACUAGCAUAUAUUACUUUUGUUAUCAGAAAAUACAGUUAACAUUUGUUUCAUUGGAUAGAUAUGAUUUUCUCUCAGCAGAAGUACUAUAGGAAGCUACCCAUUCAUAGGUAGGAAGCACUUCACAUUAUCACUUUAAUGAUAGAAUUAAAUUGCUCAAGCAAAUCACAAAAAGAAAAAUCAGAUGAAAUAUAUAAUGUAAAUGCCCAGUGCCUGGCAUAUAACAGGUAUUCAAUAAAUAUUUGCUCAAUGAGAGAAUAAAUAAAUGAAUGAAUGAGGA